AUUGAACGCUGGCGGCAGGCCUAACACAUGCAAGUCGAACGAGGGGCGGACGGGUGAGUAAUGUCGGGGAAACUGCCCGAUGGAGGGGGGUAACUACUGGAAACGGUAGCUAAUACCGCAUACCAUCGGAUGUGCCCAGAUGGGAUUAGCUAGUAGGUGGGGUAAAGGCUCACCUAGGCGACGAUCCCUAGCUGGUCUGAGAGGAUGACCGGCCACCCUGGAACUGAGACACGGUCCAGACUCCUACGGUAGGCAGCAGUGGGGAAUAUUGCACAAUGGGCGCAGGCCUGAUGCAGCCAUGCCGCGUGUAUGAAGAAGGCCUUCGGGUUGUAAAGUACUUUCAGCGAGGAGGCGUUACUCGCAGAAGAAGCACCGGCUAACUCCGUGCCAGCAGCCGCGGUAAUUC
rnacentral:rRNA from 1 species